UCUCCCUUCUCCUCCUAAAGCCCUAGAAAUCACGCGAAGAAAAUGUCGAUCGAACUCUGUUCGGCGCCUCCAUCCACAACGCCAUAGUGUUAUACAAACCCAAAUCGAACGCCCCUCAUGCUUCCCCUGCUCUCCAAUUGUAACUCCCCGAAAUCUUAACCGCUCGAAGCCGUUGCCUAGGUCAAAACCAUCGCAGUCGACAUCCGACCAUCAUCUUCGUCCACAUACGCUACACUCAUCUCUAGCUUAGUACGUCUCCAUCGUCCAAAAUCGCUGUCCUCAGAACGACCUCCGAGCAACGACACACAGAAGGUGUGUUUGAGAUUGCACUUGCACCUUUCUUCUUGCUACAUAUGGAAUCAUCUUAUAAUUACAUGGAAAUUAUACAGUUAGAACAAGUGACAUUGUUCUUCAUCUUGAACUGAUUAUCAAUGUUGUUUCUGAAUUGGGAAAGUUUCUAUAAUAAUAUAGAGUAAUUUGCCUCCGGAAGUGGCGUUCAUAUAACCAAAAAAUGCUUCCUACGAACUGCAUUUCAUAAUGUGAAAUGUUUUGCUCGAAAAUCGCCGAUUUUGCUGAAAUAUGUGGUCUGCGGUGUAUGUUAAGCUUGCAGUGUAACGAUUUAUAUAGUUGUCUGCAUAUUAGUUUGUGUAGUAAUGACAUUGAAUUUGUUUUUUUGAUUUGUCGGGUAGGAUGGGAGGAUGGAAUGUUGGCAUUUGUCACAGUUGUAGAAGCACGAAGCACUCCUUUAUUGAUUGCCGAGUAAAAUGACAAUGUCCAUGGUGCGCACUCGGAUUGGAGAUGUGUUUUGAGGUUGAAAGGACGACUAGUAAUAAAGGGCGAUUAUUCAGAACCUGUAGUAGUAAGUGUGGAUAUUUUGAUUGGGUCGUC
rnacentral:lncRNA from 1 species